AACGAACGCUGGCGGCAGGCUUAACACAUGCAAGUCGAGCGCCCCGCAAGGGGAGCGGCAGACGGGUGAGUAACGCGUGGGAAUCUACCCAGCUCUACGGAAUAACCCAGGGAAACUUGGACUAAUACCGUAUACGCCCCUCGGGGGAAAGAUUUAUCGGAGUUGGAUGAGCCCGCGUUGGAUUAGCUAGUUGGUGGGGUAAUGGCCUACCAAGGCGACGAUCCAUAGCUGGUCUGAGAGGAUGAUCAGCCACACUGGGACUGAGACACGGCCCAGACUCCUACGGGAGGCAGCAGUGGGGAAUAUUGGACAAUGGGCGAAAGCCUGAUCCAGCCAUGCCGCGUGAGUGAUGAAGGCCCUAGGGUUGUAAAGCUCUUUCACCGGUGAAGAUAAUGACGGUAACCGGAGAAGAAGCCCCGGCUAACUUCGUGCCAGCCGCCGCCGUAAUAC
rnacentral:rRNA from 1 species